UACGGGGGGGGCAAGCGUUGUUCGGAAUUACUGGGCGUAAAGGGCUCGUAGGCGGCCAACUAAGUCAUACGUGAAAUCCCUCGGCUUAACCGGGGAACUGCGUCUGAUACUGGAUGGCUUGAGUUCGGGAGAGGGAUGCGGAAUUCCAGGUGUAGCGGUGAAAUGCGUAGGUAUCUGGAGGAACACCGGUGGCGAAGGCGGCAUCCUGGACCGAUACUGACGCUGAGGAGCGAAAGCCAGGGGAGCAAACGGG
rnacentral:rRNA from 1 species